UACGUAGGGGGCAAGCGUUGUCCGGAUUUAUUGGGCGUAAAGAGCGUGUAGGCGGCCAUACAGGUCCGUUGUGAAAACUGGAGGCUUAACCUCCAGACGUCGAUGGAAACCGUAUGGCUAGAGUCCGGAAGAGGAGAGUGGAAUUCCUGGUGUAGCGGUGAAAUGCGCAGAUAUCAGGAAGAACACCGGUGGCGAAGGCGCUCUGCUAGGCCGCAACUGACACUGAGGGACGAAAGCUAGGGGAGCGAAUGGG
rnacentral:rRNA from 1 species